AUUGAACGCUGGCGGCAGGCCUAACACAUGCAAGUCGAACGAAGUCUUCGGACUUAGUGGCGGACGGGUGAGUAACACGUGGGAACGUGCCUUUAGGUUCGGAAUAACUCAGGGAAACUUGUGCUAAUACCGAAUGUGCCCUUCGGGGGAAAGAUUUAUCGCCUUUAGAGCGGCCCGCGUCUGAUUAGCUAGUUGGUGAGGUAAAGGCUCACCAAGGCGACGAUCAGUAGCUGGUCUGAGAGGAUGAUCAGCCACAUUGGGACUGAGACACGGCCCAAACUCCUACGGGAGGCAGCAGUGGGGAAUCUUGCGCAAUGGGCGAAAGCCUGACGCAGCCAUGCCGCGUGAAUGAUGAAGGUCUUAGGAUUGUAAAAUUCUUUCACCGGGGACGAUAAUGACGGUACCCGGAGAAGAAGCCCCGGCUAACUUCGUGCCAGCAGCCGCAGUAACAC
rnacentral:rRNA from 1 species